CCCCGGUCUCAGGGGCGGGGCGCAGUUCUUGCGGGAGGAGCGGGGCGGUGCGCUCCUGGCCACGCAGGCUGGAAACUGUAGCUCUUAACGGUUCCCCGCCCGUUGGUGGCAAGGCGGCUGGACUAGAAUCCUAGCAGGCGAUAUGCGAGAAGGCGGGCAGCCCAAGAGGGUUGGGCAGGGCAGUGUGGAUCUCGCCGCUUCCACAGCGAUGCUGGCUACUGAUUUCGGACACCUCCUUGCCAUGGGAUGUGAGAAAACUGACACUUGGAGAGGUAGAGUAGCUUUAUUUACUUCACACAAGCUUUUGAUGAAUUUCAAGUCUCAACCUAGAAGUCUUCCUCUAAGGGAAAUUAAUGUUAUGACUGGAUAAGACAAUUGUGAAGAAACUGCACUUCGAGGUUGUCUGUCUCCGUAUUCCGAUGGAAAAGGCUGGACUUUAGAAGCAUUGCUCGCUCCUUCAGUUUCUAACAAGAGUUUUACAGUUUCUGAUUAAAUACCAAUGGGAUAUCACCUCCCAUCUCUUAGGAUGGCUGUUAUAAAAAGGACAAGAGAUAACAAGUGUUGGUGAUGGUGUGGAGAGAAGGGAACCUUUGUACACUGCUGGUUAAAAUGUAAGUUAGUACAGCCAUUAUGGAAAACAGUAUGAAAGUUCCUGAGAAUCUAAAAAUAGAACUACCAUAUGGCUCAGCAAUCCCUCCUAUGAAUUAUAUAUCAACAGGAAAUGAAAUCAGCAUCUGAUAGAGAUAUCUUCACUCCCCUCUUCUCCGUGCCCCACCACAGCAUUGCUCCCAACAGCCAAGCCAUGGGAUGAAGUUACUGUGCAUUGAUGGAUGAGUGGAGAAAAGAAAAUGUGGGGGAGGUGUUUGUGCAUGUAUGUGUGUGUGUGUAUAAUAUAUAAUAAUAUAAUAUUUUUCAGCUUUUAAGAAGUUGAAGAUACUGCCAUUUGUGAUAACAUAAAUGAAUCUGGAGGAUAUUAAGCUAAGUAAAAUAACUUAGGGAGAGAGAAAAAUACUGCAUAAUUUCUGUUACAUAUGAAAUCUUUAAAAAGGUUUAAUACAUAGAGACAUGAUAGAGUGAUGAUUUGGGGGAUAAGAGACACAAGUCAACGUUUCAGUUAUAUAAAAUAAAUGAAUCUAGAGGACUAAAGUACAAUUUAAAGGUUAUAGUUACUAUUUUUAUAUUAUAUACUAGUGAUUUUUGAACAGGGUAAACUUUAGGUGCUUUGACACCAAAAGGAAACUACAUGAGUUCAUGUAUAUGUUAAAUUGUUUGACCGCAGUCAUCAUUGAUAUGUAUAUGUAUAUAUAUAUAAUUAUGGGCUCAUUAAAUUUAAAUGCUAUAAAUAGGUAACAAAGAAUAAAGUUAAUUGAAAAACUGCAUCAUUAGACUUGAUUUUGCCUACAUGAAAAACUGAAACUGCCUCCUAAAUAUUAAUAUUUGUACAUCGCAUAAAGUUU
rnacentral:lncRNA from 1 species